rnacentral:rRNA from 1 species
AUUCCAGCUCCAAUAGCGUAUAUUAAAGUUGUUGUGGUUAAAAAGCUCGUAGUUGAACCUGGGCCUCGCGCAGACCGGUCCGCCUCACCGCGUGCACUGGUCCUGCCGGGGCUUUCACUAGGGGAUUCGCAUGUCCUUCACUGGGCGUGCGCGGAACCUGGACUUUUACUGUGAAAAAAUUAGAGUGUUCAAAGCAGGCCUAUGCUCGAAUACAUUAGCAUGGAAUAAUAGAAUAGGACGUGUGGUUCUAUUUUGUUGGUUAUGGGACCGCCGUAAUGAUUAAUAGGGACAGUCGGGGGCAUCAGUAUUCAAUUGUCAGAGGUGAAAUUCUUGGAUUUAUUGAAGACUAACUACUGCGAAAGCAUUUGCCAAGGAUGUUUUCAUUAAUCAGGAACGAAAGUUAGGGGAUCGAAGACGAUCAGAUACCGUCGUAGUCUUAACCAUAAACUAUGCCGACUAGGGAUCGGGCGAUGUUACUUUUUGACUCGCUCGGCACCUUACGAGAAAUCAAAGUCUGUGGGUUCCUGGGGAAGUAUGGUGGCAACGCUGAAACUUAAAGAAAUUGACGGAAGGGCACCACCAGGGGUGGAGCCUGCGGCUUAAUUUGACUCAACACGGGGAAACUCACCAGGUCCAGACACAAUGAGGAUUGACAGAUUGAGAGCUCUUUCUUGAUUUUGUGGGUGGUGGUGCAUGGCCGUUCUUAGUUGGUGGAGUGAUUUGUCUGCUUAAUUGCGAUAACGAACGAGACCUUAACCUGCUAAAUAGCCCGUGUUGCUUUCGCAGCACGCCGGCUUCUUAGAGGGACUAUCGGCUCAAGCCGAUGGAAGUUUGAGGCAAUAACAGGUCUGUGAUGCCCUUAGAUGUUCUGGGCCGCACGCGCGCGACACUGACAGGGCCAGCGAGUACUCCCUUGUCCGAAAGGACCGGGUAAUCUUGUUAAACCCUGUCGUGCUGGGGAUAGAGCAUUGCAAUUAUUGCUCUUCAACGAGGAAUCCCUAGUAAGCGCAAGUCAUCAGCUUGCGUUGAUUACGUCCCUGCCCUUUGUACACACCGCCCGUCGCUACUACCCGAUUGAAUGGCUUCAGUGAGGCUUUCGGACUGGCUCAGGGAGGGUCGGCAACGACCACCCAGAGCCGGAAAGUUAUCCAAACUCGGUCAUU